rnacentral:lncRNA from 1 species
CCCUCUUUCUCUUUCCCCUCGAUCCCCACGAGCCGCCGCACCCCUCCCUCGAUCCCCACCAUCCUCUCCUCGCCAGCAGCCGCCGGCCGACCUCGUCUCUCCACUCGCCUCCUCCUCUCCUCUAUCAUGUCGCCGUCGAUCCCAUCGCCAGCCUUCUCCUCUGCUCGCCACCUCCUGUCCUCUUCCAUGUCACCGUCGAUCCAGAUCGGACGUAGGUCGUCUUCGUAGGUGUAGGAUGCGGACGACAAGGGAAGGAGGAGGCCGACGAGGAAGGCAAGCAACAGCGGGGAAGGAGAAGGUGAGCGAUCCUAGCAUGGGGAAGGGGCAGGGUGAGGCCUCGCGCACCUGCCGGCGGCCGGCAGGUCGACUUGUUGCGCCACCGCGUCGUCGCCUCCUCUGCACCAUGAGAGGCGCCACCUCUGCCUCCACCCCCCCACUGGGCAAGGAGCUCGAGGUGAACAGGCGGUGUGGGAAGGCGAGAGGAACCAGGAGCUCAUCCCUCCUCCCAUGGCUGCCUCGUGGAUCUGGAGGUGCCUGUUGCAGGCGGCUCGAGCGAUGCAAGCCGGCGGCGAACUAGGUGCUCCACUCUUUCUCUCCCUCUCUUAGUUUCUUCCUCACACACAUUUUACUUUGCUAUUAUAUGGAUUUUUAAACUUGACGUGUGCAGAUCUGACAUAGAAGAGAGGAAGAAUAAUUUUAGCUAAGAGUGGAAUUUAGAGUUCAAAGAAUCAGUUGAUGCUAUUGACCAAAGAGCGAUUUUUGUUACAGUUCCUCUGAAUUAGUAAACCGGAAGGACUAAAACAUCAUCAGUCAGCCAUUGUUGUUAGAUUGAUGUUGCCUUGAUUACCACUUUGUUUGGUGGCUACACUAUAAAUUCUUGAGAUAUAGUGCAAUGGUUGAUAGUUUGUUGCAUAAUGAUAUUGAUUCUGCUGAACUAAUACUCUCUUUGUAUAUCUAGGAUUCCUACUAGAACAUGUCAUUCCAAAUUGCGACAAUGAUCUUUGUACUCAUGAGUAGUCCUUUUUUAUACUGAAUUUUG